ACCUACUUUAAUAUAGGACAAUGCAUCUGCUACCUGCAAACUACCUUUAGCCUGAGUGGGGAGAUAGUAGGGUGCUUCCCUCCAGUUCUAUAGAGCCCUUGCUUGAGAUGUUUGCUGGGGAAGGCAUAGUUUUAUAGGGUGUGCAGGGCUGAAUGGGUAGAGGGCAUAUGAUAACGUAAGACUGGGAUAAUUCAGCAAUCGAUAAUAUAGUCAGGGAAAAGCUGCUAGAAGGUUUCGCCCUUGAUUAGUAACAGCUUUGAAAUGCGGCUGUAGAGGGUGCAGAUUGUGCGGGCUGUGAGCUCUCAAGGACACAGGGAGAUGAUGAGGACUUUGGGAUCCAACAUCUGCCUGCUGGUGACGUCAGCGCUCCGUGUAAUCCUCUUGUGCUGAAGCCACAAGCCUUAUUUGUUUGGCUGUACAGCCAUUAAUCCCUAAUUCUGGAGCAGCCAGCGAGGGGGAAACACUGCACCGGUGCAUCCGUCAUUCCCAAAUAUAUGAACACAGACGAAGCCCUUCUCCCUGCGCCAGAUUCACAGACGGGCAUUCCUAAUACAUCUCAAAUGGAAUAACACGGAUUGUUUGGGCUUAAGAAGAGGAUCCUGACGCCUCACUGUAUGGUGCAGACAUAUACAUAUAAGUGCACACUGGGAAUUAACCCCAAGGAUCCACCCAUUUCUCUUGCUGAUAACGGAUCUGACUCUGACAUAUGUAUCAUUUCCAGCUUUCGCCCUGAUGUCUUAAUAGCAAGGCAGCAAAUAGUGACCGACUGGGCGCUUUUAGGCUUUUCCUCACUGCCCGCUGAUCGAAUCCCGAAUGGGCACUCACCAGCCGACAGACAUCACUCUUGGUUGAGGCUUUUUUUUCACAGAAAGAAUCAAUAUGGAUACGAUGUCAGUUUAAACAUUUAAAGGGCAGUUAAAAGCCUUAGUUUCCGCAGUUCCCUUUCUGAGUAGAGUAACUAUAGCCUGGCCAUAUGGGCUGCCCGUCCUCUCUGGGGAUUGGGCAGGUGCGAUUGAGUUAUUUUUCCUCAUUACAAAAGAAAGAUGACACGUCCUGACCUUUCCUUUUAUAUCAUCGGGUCAAAACAAGACUCCUAAAGAGAAAGCCUCCACCGGCCUGUGUUACAGUGGGGAACUGUCUUAGCUGUUUAUGUCUUAGAGCUGCAGGUUCCAAUAGAAACGUUCAUGAGACAAUUAAAACCGAGUUUGUUUAGAAGCGACAGAGCCAUCUGCUUUACGGAACGCUGCGCUAAGGAUUUGAUGGUUGCCUAUAUCCCAUCUAUGAUUUAAAGGGAAUAUGUUUGACUGGAGCUGCAGCAUUAGAGUCAAACGUAUGUACUAUGAGAGCAAAGAGUCUGGCUCGGAAGAGGAGGUUUCACACCGGAGCAGGGGAUUGCGUCCUUGCAGUCCUGCCCGACCUCUCGCCAUUUUGGUCCGAUCUAAGUCUCUGACUCUCCGUGUUCACAGCGGACCUUGAUUUAAUGUCAUACAAUUAAGGCACGCGGUGAAUGCCAAGAGUGGAGCCUACAUGCAGCCCGAAGCCUCUCCCUGUCUGCGCAGGAGCGCAACCGCAUUUACUUACAUAUGGGCAUUUAACACGAGUGGCGCAUUGUAUGUAAUUAUGGUUUGGGUUUGGGAAAGAUGUGUGUUAAGUUCACCGAAACCUGCCCAGCUGCUGGGGGCCUUCGGUGAAAUGCCCUUACCCUUGGCUUAUAAAGGUCUUAAAAUACCAGAAUGGUAAUAUUUUAUUUCCUAUGUGUACCGGCAAUUUAUACAAAUAUGUGAAUCCUUGCUAUCAUGUAUAUAUAUAUAUAUAUUGUAUUGUUUUUAAAAAAUGACUGUAACUAACAGCCCGACCCCUUGUUAAAAAGAAAAUAAAACUCAUUAAGGACCAUGGUAUGAAUAAUACAAGGCA